ACUGAUGACAAAGACAACAGAGAAAUGAAGCAGUAAAGAUCAGAGACAGAGACAGAGCUGCUGUGGAAGCACAAAACUGUUUGAUUGGCUGAGCUAUUAAACUGGCCCCGCCCACUGAAGUUGAGCUCAUCCAAUGACAUUAUUUGUUGGUCAUUGUGCUGCAGUGGAAGAACAUUGUUCAUGUGCUGUCUGUCUGGCUUUAAUAACUCCAAAGACAUGUUGCUGCACCUCUUUUUGCUUCUAUCUCACAUUAUAGGACUAACAGCUGGAGACUCAAUCACUCCUCAACAACCUGAAGUCAC